rnacentral:lncRNA from 1 species
UUUUCAACUGUAAGGUGGCUAUUCAAAUUUGAGAGAUGGUGGAGGAGUGGACAAGUAUAUCUAGGAGUGCUGAAGAAAUAGUUUAGAAGAAUUUUAUGAGUUAGAUCAAAAUUGUUAAGAAGAAGAAGUUGAAAAAGGGAAGGGAGGAGUUGUGUGGAUAAUGGUUAUUUGGAGUAUCUGAAAAUUUAGAAAUGAUAUUUUAUUUAACGUGCUUUCUACGAUGUAUCAGAUUUGUUAUAUUCUAUUGAGUUAACGACAUGAAAGUGGUCUUACAUAGGAGAUAUUCUCAUUCCACUUGUAAUUUUUACAAGUUUAGUAAGGAUCCAUUGACUUGGUUAAGUUAAGUUGCGGUUGGUAUGAAUUUUCUCCUUUCCCGGAUUUUCCUAGUGUUUCUUUUGUAAAAGGACAAGAGUACCCCUAAUACUCUUUUAAUAAAAUUUCUUGCUUACAAAAAAAAUAAAAAAUAGAGAGAAGAUUAAAGGUGAAGAGUCAUGACUUCCUAUAAUAAUGCAUAAAUAACAAGUAUUGAUUAUCUAUAACAAUGUUCAUGUCCCUAUAUUUGAAGGAGAAAAUUAUGAUUUUUGAACGGUAAAAAUGAACACUUUAUUCCCAUCUUUGGAUAUCCCGGAGUUCUUCAAACGAUGAUUCGAAGAACCAACAAUUGCAACCAAACUUACAACAACAUAAAAUGACAAAUUAUAGAAGGUGAAAAUCAUAGAUGUUGGAGUUCUUGGGGUAAUUCAAAGACGCAUCUCAAAUACCAUAUUUCUAGGAAUAAUGAGAACAAAAACAGCCAAGAAAGUAUGAGAAAUUAUAUAACAAUAAUUUUAAGGAGAGUGAAAGGUGAGAACAAUCAAACUUGUGUAUCUUAAAAGAGAUUUUGAGAAUGAAAAAUGAAAGCUUGAAUGAGUAGUUUAAUAUACUCAUUAAUUUGGUGAACUAAAUGAAGUUUCAUGGAGAUAUAAUUGAAAAUUAUAGAAUUGUGAUUUUUUUAAAUUAAUUUGAUUGAAAAAUUUGAUCCUUUAGGGGAUGAUAUAUAAAAAAAAUGAAGGAUUUGACAACUAUGACAAUCAAUGUUUGACGGGUCAUUUAAAUCCUAUGAGCAAAGGUUGUCACAACCCAAAGAAAAUUUAGUCGAAAACACAUUUGAUUCAAAGCUAAUUAUUCAACGAAAUAAUGAUAAAUUACUAUUCAUAAAUAAAGGUGAUUCUUCUAGAAAUGACAAGUUUGCUGAAACACGUCUAUUGAGGAUGAGAAAAUUUUAGAGACUCAAAUAAAUGGUGUGAAAUUUGUAAAAAAAACUCACGAGAAUAAAGAUUUGUGGAACAAAUGAAAAUCAUAAUGUCAUAAUUACAAAAGGUUAGGCACAUGCAUAAACAUUGUCCCUUGGAAAAAUCAACAUCACAUAUCAUUUGCAAAAGUAGAAAAUAGUGAAACCACCUAUUCUUUGCAUGUCAAAAAGAAAAUUAUGAGUAUAAAAAUGUGUGGUAUUUUGACACCAUGUGCAACAACCAUAUAAUAGGAGAUAAAGAUGCCUUCAUUUGUCUCAAAAGUCAAAUUAGGAAAUGAGGAAUAUAUUGAAAGUGAAGGCAAAUGAAACAUUAGAGUUAUGACAAAACAAAGAGGUAAGAUGAUUC